GUGUUGUAUGAAAGGAGACGCUAGCACUCCCCUUGACAAGGAUGGAAGAGGCCCUUGGGCCUGACAACAUGCCUAUGGUUUAAGCAUUGCCACCUACCUGCGGCAUCUAACCACUGUAAAUU
rnacentral:ncRNA from 1 species